rnacentral:rRNA from 1 species
GACGAACGCUGGCGGCGCGCUUAACACAUGCAAGUCGAGCGAGAACCGGGCCUUCGGGCCCGGGGAAAGCGGCGAACGGGUGAGUAACACGUGGGUAGUCUGCCCUCGGCAUCGGGAUAGCCCGGGGAAACCCGGAUUAAUACCGAAUAGACUCCGGAGCUUUCGGGCGCCGGAGAAAAGGGUGGCUUCGGCUUCCGGUGGAGGAUGAGCCCGCGGCGGAUUAGCUUGUUGGCGGGGUAACGGCCCACCAAGGCGACGAUCCGUAGCUGGUCUGAGAGGACGAUCAGCCACACUGGGACUGAGACACGGCCCAGACUCCUACGGGAGGCAGCAGUGGGGAAUCUUGCGCAAUGGGCGAAAGCCUGACGCAGCGACGCCGCGUGCGGGAAGAAGGCCCUCGGGUUGUAAACCGCUUUCAGGAGGGACGAAGCCACUCGGGUUAAUAGCCCAGAGGGUGACGGUACCUCCAGAAGAAGCCCCGGCUAACUACGUGCCAGCCGCCGCCGUAAAAC